rnacentral:lncRNA from 1 species
UUUACCUCUUUAAGCCUCAGUUUUCUCAACUGUACAGUGAGCUUCAUAGAAUUUUCCUCAGGAAAGUGAGGUUUACACAUUUAGGGAAAUGUCCAACACAUAAUGAGCCCAGAAAUAUAUUUUUUUAAUUUUUUAUUUUUUGUUUUUUUGAGCAUGGACAUAUUAGAUAUUAAUAUAGUUACUAAAAUAUCUGAUUUCUGUAUGAGAUGCUCAUUAAAGAACUUAUUGGUGUAAGUAUAUGAUUGGGUACUGUUUCUAAAGAUCAGCAAAGUUUUGUCUUUUUUAUUUAAACGAUUCCCUGCUUAAGAAUAUAAUUUUUAAAAGUAUACCAUUAUAGUACCAAGAGAAAAUACUAGAAAUGUGGGACCAGACCUGACAAGACCUUCAUGGGAGAAAAUGUAAAAUUAUAUCAGAAGACAUUAAACUAACAUCUAAAUAGACAGAGCUUUGUCAUGUUCAUGGUUAAGAAGGCUCAAUUAUUUUUAAAAAUGUCAAU